GACACUACCAUGUCCAAUAGAGCAUUCUGUGAUGUUUUUGUCUGUGGAUGUGUAUGAAAUCUAACAGACACCGAAAUCCUGCAUGAUUCUGUAUGAAACCAAUGUCAUAUUGAGGUACAGGAGAGACCAAGGACCUCUAUGGGUACCCCAGUGUGGCUCUCAAUAAAAUAGAGCAGUAAUACUGUUCAUAAACCCCCAACCUGCAAGAAUGCAGUAGCGAGGAAGAAAAAACCCUUUCAAAGGGCGCUGCUGUUGUCCUGGUGAGAUGAAGAUAGGAAGCCCGAGGCAGAAAUAUUUUGCAAGCAUGCUGUUGCCAGGACCCAAACCAUGCAUAAAAAGUCAGAACAAAAUGCCAUGAACAAAAUGCAUUCUUUGUAGAAAAUCAUUCUUCACAAGAAUAACUGAAAAUCAAUUCAACUAGCCAGAAAAAAGGUUGAAAAACUUUGAAAUGGAAACCCCCCAACAAUAAAUAAAUUGUUUCAGCAUUUCACAGGUUAAUGUAGGUUCACAUGGAUAUAGAAUGUAGACUGGGAAAAACUGAUCCACCACCUGUUUGGAAGAACCAAGUUUUCAUCUCAAAACACGCCCAUAAAUGUCAUAUAAACAAUUCACUCCAUUUUGUGAAGUGA